rnacentral:rRNA from 1 species
GCAAGUCGAACGAGACCUUCGGGUCUAGUGGCGCACGGGUGAGUAACGCGUGGGAACCUACCUUUUGGUACGGGACAACAGUUGGAAACGACUGCUAAUACCGUAUGUGCCCUUCGGGGGAAAGAUUUAUCGCCAAAGGAUGGGCCCGCGUUGGAUUAGCUAGUUGGUGGGGUAAUGGCCUACCAAGCCUACGAUCUAUAGCUGGUUUGAGAGGAUGAUC